AAAUGAAUGAGAGAAGCAUGGAGAAAAGAGACUGAGACUUGAAUACUAAGCAUAAUCAGAAGAAUAUGUACUUUGUGGACUGCCUGCUCUGUUUUGAAGAGAAUGGUUUCUGACAUAGAGUUGGUGACUGCAACAUUUGGUACCAGAUGAUAUUUCAGCAAGCUGAACAUUUUGCAAAACAACAACCUCUGAACUGAGGGCUGAUUCGAGAGUAAACCUUCCCUUCCGUAGAGGACUGACUAUGGAGAAAUAUACAUGAAAAACUAGAGCUGUCUUGGUACACCACAUGGUUUUUCCUUUGCUUCCCAUCAUUACACAGACCUUUAUGCCCUUGGAAAGUGUUGGAUCCUACAUGAGUGCACACAGAGAGAGAGCAGAGAAGACAGGAAUUACAGCCAAGAAAUAGCCUGUUGCCAGAAUUGCCCUCCUGUGGCCUCUCUCUUUCACACUCCAAUGCACUCCAACUGAAGCAAAAGCCCCCGUUAGCGGCAGAGCAGCAGGACGUGGUCUUCCAGCACAACAGCUGAGAAGCUUCGGACGGAAACUGACAAUCAAUGCAGGAGGUCUGUGAAAUGAGACCCCCAACUGGUGCCACUCUAGAGCUAUUCAUGCAGGUAGUAUUGCAUGGGAAGGGUCCCGUGGCCACAUGGUGGUAUGAGAAGCCCAGUGGUUAGGGUCAAAAUGGUACGUUUUCAGUAGCAGAGCUUACUUAUCUGCUGUAAAGGGACAGAAGCUUUUUCAUGUCACUAAUGAGCAAACCAAGCUUUCUAAACUAUAAGAGGGACUCCACCAAAAGGGUUGCCAUUUGGAAUGUUCUCAUCUCCCUCAGCAUCUUUGGUAGUCUCUAUAUACCAGCAUUUGAUAGUCAAAUCACAUAUUUUAUCUCACGGUCCAAACCAGAGUUUUGAGUGCAUUCUAAUAUGCACAAUAUUCUAAUAUGCACACCGUACUAGUAUGUGUGUCCCUUCAAUAAUUUCAAUGGAAGUACUCGAUCUUCCCAUGCAAAACAAUAUCUGUGCCUACAGGACCCCUCAUUCAAAAGAAUGGUGCAACUCAUGCACAUACAGUAUUGGCUCUUUCACAUCUUUAAGCAGCCUCUGGACUAGGGUGCAAGAGUUCUAUCUCAAUUCUAUCUCAAUUAUCACAAUCCAACCUAACAACAAAUAUUGCAUGUU